rnacentral:rRNA from 1 species
GACGGAGGGUGCGAGCGUUAUUCGGAACCAUUGGGCGUAAAGAGUGUGUAGGCGGCCGGUCAAGCCAGAUGUGAAAGCCCAGGGCUUAACCCUGGAAGUGCAUUUGGAACUGGCUGGCUUGAGUUCGGGAGAGGAAAGCGGAAUUCCGGGUGUAGAGGUGAAAUUCGUAGAUAUCCGGAGGAACACCGGUGGCGAAGGCGGCUUUCUGGACCGAAACUGACGCUGAGACACGAAAGCGUGGGGAGCAAACAGG